UAGGAAGCCCUCCUAGAAUUUGUACGGGGCAGGUCCUUCUGGCUGGUCCCAAACGUUCUCUUUGUACAUAGCCACAAUAAAUGUUUUUUACUCACUCACCCCCAACGAUUGGUGUACCUUGCGGCAUGAAAUCCUUGGUGUGCCUUAUGGCAGGAAAUUUUCGAAGCACAACUUCUAAUUUUGUCGAUUUUAUUUUCAGGUCCUUUGUAAAUAAGAGCUACACUAUUACUUGUUUCCUGGCAGGAGCAAGAGCAGCAUAUAUUUGAUGUUUUGAAGAAAUGGCCACUUUUUGGUGACGUGUACCGAAAACUUGAACCGUGGAGGUUGCUUAUGUGCUCGAAAAACAAGAAAAAGCACUUCAAGCCGUACGGGUUCACUUUUUGGUGGAAGCAUUAAAGUACCUAGAGCAGCUACUUGUGGCCUGAAGCAUCCAAACAACAGGGCGAUAUGAAUUUCAAUGUGGCAAAGUAUGCUGUCAAAUCCUUAGUUUUUAUUGGUUACCUUAGCCUGCAGCAAAAUGAUAAUAAAAAGCCAUAAAUUCCUA